ACUCUCCCAAAGCCGCUCGCUGGUGGUGGUCCUUGAGACGCGCUUCCCGGGGCUGGAGUUUUGCGGUUUCGUCGGCAUCCAGGGGUAAGAGGGCGCGGCAGGGCAGCACCGCACCUGACCGGAAGUUCAGGGAAGGUAAUCCUACAGUCUUUCAGAAAGUUUCCUCUCCCAAGGGACUCAAAGAAGCUAAUGUCGUUAGGAGCUCCUCCGACUUGCGCCAAAAGCGUCAUUCCACGUGGACCCGCUUAGUUUAAACGGGGGGUUGGGGGGGCGUAUGUUGCUGCUCUCUCUAAUAAAAUAUAUUUGGAUGGCAAGG
rnacentral:lncRNA from 1 species